UACGUAGGGUGCGAGCGUUGUCCGGAAUUAUUGGGCGUAAAGAGCUCGUAGGCGGUGUGUCACGUCGGCCGUGAAAACCUGCAGCUUAACUGUGGGCGUGCGGUCGAUACGGGCAUCACUGGAGUUCGGCAGGGGAGACUGGAAUUCCAGGUGUAGCGGUGAAAUGCGUAGAUAUCUGGAGGAAUACCGGUGGCGAAGGCGGCAUCCUGGACCGACAUUGACGCUGAGGAGCGAAAGCUAGGGGAGCAAACGGG
rnacentral:rRNA from 1 species